ACUGAGCGGCGGACGGGUGAGUAACGCGUGGGUAACCUGCCCCAUACAGGGGGAUAACAGUUAGAAAUGACUGCUAAUACCGCAUAAGACCACGGUACCGCAUGGUACAGUGGUAAAAACUCCGGUGGUAUGAGAUGGACCCGCGUCUGAUUAGGUAGUUGGUGGGGUAACGGCCUACCAAGCCGACGAUCAGUAGCCGACCUGAGAGGGUGACCGGCCACAUUGGGACUGAGACACGGCCCAG
rnacentral:rRNA from 1 species